rnacentral:lncRNA from 1 species
CGGUGUACCUCGCUACGCCCAUGUUUGAGUAGUGUGUACGUUCUAGUACAACUAGUGACAUGUACAAGGGUUGCCACGUACGCUUACGUACUACAUAUUUGUACAAAAUGGAGAAUUCUUUCUUCGAUUUGUAAAUAGCACUAGGUUUGCUAAACUGCCAUAUUCUUUAAAAUUUAAGCGUAUGCAACAGUGACUUUCAGCUGGAUCCCUGGUCUAUUACGUAUGUUCUUAUUACGUAGGUAUGUAUAUGAUUAAGGCUAAGUUUUUAUUAUUUACCUACUUUUUUUGUUGAAUAAAGACUGUUAAUUUUAGCAAUAAUAUAUUAAAAUACUUUAAGGGCAGAAAAACAGGGCUUCCUAAUGUAACACCAUAAACUAACUUGUCUCUUAGGUCUAGUUCGUAUUACUUUAGUAUUUUAGUCGAGUAUGAACGAUUUUUGGGCGGUAAAUACAAAAAUUGUUCAUACUCGACUAAAAUACUAAAGAAGUCUGAAGAACGGCCUACUAGGCGUUUGUUCUUGAACUAUUGUGUACCUACGAAUACUAGUCCGCGACUCCGUUCGCGUAAAAAUCAUUUUUCCACAAAUCCUACGUGAACGGGAUCUUUCCGGGAUGAAAAAUAACCUAUGUGUGGUCCGGGGUGUAUUAUGUUCCAAAUUUUUACUAAAUCAGUUCAGUAGAUGCUGCGUUAAAGUGUAACAAAUAUACCCACACUUUCACAUAAAAGGUGAAGGGCAUUUCUAAUUCAGAUUUUAGACUUUCUAGUAGAAAGUUUCUACACUCUACAGUCUAAGAUCCGAAUUAGAAACGACCUUCACCUACAAAAGCGUUUUUCUUACCUCCUGGCCAAACUACCUUAAAUGAUAGUAAAUAAUGGUUAAAAGUGUGGCCAGAUGGUUUCUUGAGGAGAGAGAAUAAGUUUAGACAGUAUAUUUUGGUUCUAAACAAGAUUUGCCCAUAAAAAUGUGUAUAGGUUCCUACCUAUAAAUGUUUUAAGUAGGUAUAGUUUUGUGUGCUAAAGUUAGUUCUUGUGAAUGUGAUGCUAUGUAAUAUGUACCUAAUUAAAAAAGUAAUUUGCGUAGGUAACUAUUAUAAGCUAAAUUGAGUUUGAAGUGAACCACUAUUUCUAGCCGUCUAAAAUUGGUUCAUUUUGUUCACGACAUUGUCAUUCCUUGAGCCCAUUGUUCUGUUGUUCCAAAAUAUAUUCUGGUAUAUAUUUUUAUAAAAAUUGACUGACUGCUGUUGUGGCACACUGUUUUGUCUAUAGUGCCACAAACUUACCUGACCCAGUGGCCAAAGCUGGAACUAACGCAAAGUGUAACGUCGUGGCGGUAGCAAUUUUGAAAAACAUUAUUUGCAACAAAAUUGUCUGUCGUUACUUGAGAGGGCCGAGGUAAACUCACCCAUCGAAAAUAUUCAACACUAAUAAAUUUAUCCUAUGUCCUUACACUACUCAUAACUUUAAAAUUGAUUCGCAAUACACUCACGUGUAAUUUUUACACAGGCUACUAAUCAAAUCGCUUACAAACACACACAGACACACACACGCACAAAUUAUUCUAUUAUUUGAUCGAUGUUCUGCUGUAUCGUUAGAAGAAUCGAUUCUUUCUAAAUAUUGCUUUUAUUACAACCUUGAUAUAAUUAAGCUAAAAAUACAAAUGAAACGUAAAUUCAUAUUUUAGUGAACUACAAGGUCUUGACCAUUUAUGCAAUUUAUCUAUACUACCGUAAUUUUUAGGGAGGUCUUUAUACGUCGAUUACAACAAUGAAACAUCGUUUAUAUAGAAACAGUUUUUCUAAACGCGUUAGAUCAUUGAUUCUUAACGCGUGAGAUCUUGGACCUGAUCUUUCUUGAUCAGAGGAGCAAAAUUUAGGCCUAGUUCGGACUACUUUAGUAUUUUAGUCGAGUACGAACGAUUUUUAGCCGUUAAAUCCAAAAAUUGUUCGUACUCGAUUAAAAUACUAAAGUAGUCUGAGCCCUCAGUGGGCCAGAUAAGUUUGUGGCUUAAUCAUUUUAUUAUUGUGAGCAGGAAAAUUAUCUGUGAUAAAUGCAGUUUGUUUUGGUCCAUCAAGGCAGAUUGGUUUAACUUUAAGGCUUUAAUGUUAAAAAAAAUUACUUUAAGGUUACAUUAAAAAGAUAAGUUUAGGUAUCUCUUUAAUAAUAUCUAUAAACAUAGUUUCGCGUAGGUAGAUUUAGAAUAGGUACGUUAUACCUGCCUAUGCCUAAUAAAUGGUGAUACCCAAGCAAUAAAUACAGACUUGACCGUAGAAGUUAGACCCCGGCAAGUAAGUUGAACCUA